AGGAUGUAACCGCUGCUUUACCUCCUUGGGUUGAACGUGUGUCUUCAUGCCCUAUACCAAACAAUUUAUCAGACUGGAUGAGAGCUUCUGUAGCACUCAAUUGCAGUGGUAUGUUAAAUGCAACAAGAAGUAUUGACCUUAAAAAUAUAUACCACUGCAUGCCAAGUAGUUACCUGAAUGAGUCUGUUCAGUUUUGUUCAGACUUUACACUUAUAAAGAACGGAAGCUGUGCUGUGUAUACAUACAUGUAUGCAAAUAAUAAAACUCCAAAUUCCAGGAACUGCACCUUUUUUCUCUCUGGUUGUCCAGAACAAGAAUUUUAUUCUAACAAGUUAUAUAAGUAUAAGUCAUGCUUUGACAUUGAUCCAGAAAGAAAGUGUUACAUCCAGGAUCCAAAAUG